AACCCAUGUUGAGAACAUUUCUGCAGGAGAUCCAUGAACCUUUCUCAUGUCUCAAAAAGAGACUCCAAUUCCAUUUGUACAAAAGAAAAGAUCUCAUUCCUGAGCUU